CAUCGGUUCUGUUGAGAACCGAUGUAAAAACCCAUACAUUUUCUACGUUGCUUUAUUCUACAUCGGUUCUAAAACCGAUGUAGAUGACUUUAGAGAACCGAUGUAAAAUAUGCAUCUUGUAGUAGUGAAUAUAAAUGUUAAUGUGACUACAAUAUCAUAUAUUUAGUACUUAUAUUAUGAUAGAUGUUGACCACCCUCCACAAAAAAUAAAUUUUCUAUAUUAAGUGUUGAUUCGUUUAUUCUAUAUUGUAAAAAUUUAUGAACGAUUCAAAAUCCAUAUAAAAUAUCUAAAUACUAGACAUAUAAAAUGGUUGAAAUACUCGAUAUAGAAAAUAUCUGCCAAAACGGAUCAUGCAUUUAUCUUAUAAAUUGCCCUGUGUUUGUACCUCUAUUUCGAUUGAGUUAUACUAUUUUCACGCUACUUUUUGAAUACUAUUUCUAUCAUUUAUUUGUACUUUUAGUCCCCUAAUAUAGUUAAUAAUAUCUUUAUUUUUAAUUUCAUAUUUUAGUAUUUCUAUCAAUAAAAUUGUAUAAUUUAAAUUCUUUGAUGAAUUUGUCAUCUAGAAUUUAUUAUAGAGAUAGCUAGAGAGAUGUUGAUGUGAUAGUCAAAUGCUAACAUCACGUGUAGUUACAUGUGGAGCUCGUGUCCUUAAGGUGUUGACAAGAGUAGUAAUGGUGUUGAUGUUUAUCCAUUAUUUCAGCACUUGACCGCUACGUCGAUAUUUCUAUUAAAUUUGGACGAGAAGUUCAUGAAUAAAUAUUCAAAGCUGCAUAAUUUAAAAGUGCUUCAAUUGAAUGCUACAAGAAACGGACCAUCUAGUUUGGGCACCACCCUACAUGCUUGCUCUUGUGGUCCAAUCCUCUCUUGGCAACACCUACACAUCACUAUGAUCGGCGAUGCACACAGGAUGUGGGUCAUUUCAUUAUUUUUCUUUUCUUAUUUGUAUGUUCUGAUCAUAUCGAGGGAAACACAUUAGUUUUGUUUUCAUGUUUAUCUUAUAUAUACAAUCUUAUGAUGCAUGUUCUU